UGGGGAAUCUUGCACAAUGGGCGAAAGCCCGAUGCAGCCAUGCCGCGUGAGUGACGAAGGCCCUAGGGUCGUAAAGCUCUUUCGCCAGGGAAGAUAAUGACGGUACCUGGUAAAGAAGUCCCGGCUAACUCCGUGCCAGCAGCCGCGGUAAUACGGAGGGGAGUAGCGUUGUUCGGAAUUACUGGGCGUAAAGCGCGCGUAGGCGGACUAUUAAGUCAGGGGUGAAAUCCCGGGGCUCAACCCCGGAACUGCCUUUGAUACUGGUAGUCUUGAGUUCGAGAGAGGUGAGUGGAAUUCCGAGUGUAGAGGUGAAAUUCGUAGAUAUUCGGAGGAACACCAGUGGCGAAGGCGGCUCACUGGCUCGAUACUGACGCUGAGGUGCGAAAGUGUGGGGAGCAAACAGGAUUAGAUACCCCUGUAGUCC
rnacentral:rRNA from 1 species